UAUUGUGUCAGAUUCCUGUUAUGUGGUU
rnacentral:piRNA from 1 species